rnacentral:rRNA from 1 species
AACGUAGGACACAAGCGUUAUCCGGAGUUACUGGGCGUAAAGGGCGUGUAGGCGGAGAUGUAAGUCUAUUCUGAAAGCUCCUGGCUAAACUGGGAGAGGCGAAUGGAGACUGCAUAUCUAGAGUGAGGAAGAGGAAAGUGGAAUUCCGCGUGUAGUGGUGAAAUGCGUAGAUAUCAGGAGGAACACCGGUGGUGUAGACGGCUCACUGGACCGUAACUGACGCUGAGACACGGAAAGCGUGGGUAGCAAACAGG